CGGGCGGGUGAGCAAUGUCUGGGAAACUGCCCGAUGGAGGGGGGAAACUACUGGAAACGGUAGCUAAUACCGCAUAACGUCGCAAGACCAAAGAGGGGGACCUUAGGGCCUCUUGCCAUCGGAUGUGCCCAGAUGGGAUUAGCUAGUAGGUGGGGUAACGGCUCACCUAGGCGACGAUCCCUAGCUGGUCUGAGAGGAUGACCAGCCACACUGGAACUGAGACACGGUCCAG
rnacentral:rRNA from 1 species